rnacentral:rRNA from 1 species
GGCGGUGUCUCAGACCCACCUAGAGGAGCCUGUUCUAGAACCGAUAAACCCCGUUAAACCUCACCACUUCUUGUUUUCCCCGCCUAUAUACCGCCGUCGUCAGCUUACCCCGUGAAGGUCUAGUAGUAAGCAAAAUUGGUUCGCCCAAAAACGCCAGGUCGAGGUGUAGCGAAUGAAGUGGGAAGAAAUGGGCUACAUUUUCUACAAACAGAAUACUACGAAUGGUACCAUGAAAAUAUACCUGAAGGUGGAUUUAGUAGUAAAAAGCAAAUAGUGUGUGCUUUUGAAUUAGGCUCUGAGACGCGCACACACCGCCCG